rnacentral:rRNA from 1 species
CCCUUUAGAUGGCGACCGGCGCACGGGUGAGUAACGCGUAUGCAACCUGCCCGAUACCGGGGUAUAGCCCAUGGAAACGUGGAUUAACACCCCAUAGUACUUUUAUCCUGCCUGGGAUGGGAGUUAAAUGUUCAAGGUAUCGGAUGGGCAUGCGUCCUAUUAGUUAGUUGGCGGGGUAACAGCCCACCAAGACGAUGAUAGGUAGGGGUUCUGAGAGGAAGGUCCCCCACAUUGGAACUGAGACACGGUCCAA